rnacentral:rRNA from 1 species
UACGUAGGGUGCGAGCGUUGUCCGGAAUCAUUGGGCGUAAAGAGCGUGUAGGCGGUCCGGUAAGUCCGCUGUGAAAGUCGGGGGCUCAACCCUCGAAUGCCGGUGGAUACUGUCGGGCUAGAGUUCGGGAGAGGUGAGUGGAAUGCCGAGUGUAGAGGUGAAAUUCGUAGAUAUUCGCAAGAACACCAGUGGCGAAGGCGGCUCACUGGCCCGAUACUGACGCUGAGGCACGAAAGCGUGGGGAGCAAACAGG